GACGAACGCUGGCGGCGUGCUUAACACAUGCAAGUCGGACGGGAAGGACCUGCUUUUGUGUGUUGCUCGGGUGGCGAACGGGUGAGUAACACGUGAGUAACCUGCCCUUGACUUUGGGAUCACUUCAGGGAACUGGGUCUAAUACCGGCUAGGGGCUCCAGCUGCGUGUUGGGGGUUGGAAAGUUUCGGCGGUUGGGGAUGGACUCGCGGCUUAUCAGCUUGUUGGUGGGGUAGUGACUUACCAAGGCGUUGACGGGUAGCGGGCCUGUGGGGGUGACCGGCCACAAUGGGACUGAGAUAAGGCCCAGCAUCCUACGGGAGGCAGCAGUGGGGAAUAAUGCACAAUGGGCGGAAGCAUGAUGCAGCAACGCCGCGUGCGGGAUGACGGCGUUCGGGUGGUAAACCGCUUUCGCUCGCGAAGAAGAGGGAGUGACGGUAAUGGGUAAAGAAGCACCGGCUAACUACGUG
rnacentral:rRNA from 1 species